rnacentral:misc_RNA from 1 species
UCUCCGUAGGUGAACCUGCGGAGGGAUCAUUACAGAGUUCAUGCCCUACAGGGUAGAUCUCCCACCCUAUGUUAUUAUUACUUUGUUGCUUUAGCGGGCCGUUAAGCUCCGGCCCGACUACCGGCCCCGGCUGGUAAGCGCCCGCCAGAGGACCCAAAACCCUGAAUAUUAGUGUCGUCUGAGUACUAUAUAAUAGUUAAAACUUUCAACAACGGAUCUCUUGGUUCUG